GUAGUAACCUCUUCCCCACUCCACUCCGUACAGAAGAAGAAAUAGCUUAAAACCCUCUGUUAGGGCUUUUCAAAUUCACAGUAAUCUUUCUCUGAUUUCAAAAAUGGUGAAACAACAGUUAUCACCGACACGGCCAUGGAUACUCGAGGCGGUUCCAUUGAUGGUGGUCAUUCUCAUAGCAGCUCAUGUCUUCGCCUUGGUGUAUUGGAUUUACAGAUUGGCUACUGAAAGACAGCCACAGAGGAGAAAAGCACAUUGAGGAUGAUGAACUCUACGAUUUGGAGAAUCAAAAAUGAGAAAGAGGAGGAGUUUGGAGUGUUACAGAUUUUACUGGAUUCAUGUGGUUGAUAAUAUGGUAUGUGCUUAGCUCCUUUGGCCCUAUAUUGGACAAUAAAGUAUAGGUUCCCUAGUUCUUGCUACGAGUCUUGAGCAUGCCCCGUGUAUUGUGUGUCGUGUUAACAAUUCACGCUUUCUGCGAAGGUAAAAUGAGAAUGUUUGUAAACGAUACUUCCUACUUCUAUAUGUAGCAAUUCGAUAAUUUCAAAAAGUAUUAGAAUGAUUUUCUUGUAUGCUUUCAUUGUUUCUAAAGUAGAAACAAUCCCCAUACCGAGCCCUUCGUUGAGAAACUUUUCUAAACAAUACUCCAUAAUUCUUUUCUGCAGUAAUUCAAUAAAUUAAGAGAUUGAUGUUCCUCUUG